rnacentral:rRNA from 1 species
GAUGAACGCUGGCGGCGUGCCUAAUACAUGCAAGUCGAGCGAAUGGAUUAAGAGCUUGCUCUUAUGAAGUUAGCGGCGGACGGGUGAGUAACACGUGGUUAACCUGCCCAUAAGACUGGGAUAACUCCGGGAAACCGGGGCUAAUACCGGAUAACAUUUUGAACCGCAUGGUUCGAAAUUGAAAGGCGGCUUCGGCUGUCACUUAUGGAUGGACCCGCGUCGCAUUAGCUAGUUGGUGAGGUAACGGCUCACCAAGGCAACGAUGCGUAGCCGACCUGGGAGGGUGAUCGGCCACACUGGGACUGAGACACGGCCCAGACUCCUACGGGAGGCAGCAGUAGGGAAUCUUCCGCAAUGGACGAAGUCUGACGGAGCAACGCCGCGUGAGUGAUGAAGGCUUUCGGGUCGUAAAACUCUGUUGUUAGGGAAGAACAAGUGCUAGUUGAAUAAGCUGGCACCUUGACGGUACCUAACCAGAAAGCCACGGCUAACUACGUGCCAGCCGCCGCCGUAA